GACGCCGCGUGAGGGAUGAAGGCCUUCGGGUUGUAAACCUCUUUAGCAGGGAAGAAGCGCAGUGACGGUACCUGCAGAAGAAGCGCCGGCUAACUACGUGCCAGCAGCCGCGGUAAUACGUAGGGCGCAAGCGUUGUCCGGAUUUAUUGGGCGUAAAGAGCUCGUAGGCGGUUUGUCGCGUCUGCUGUGAAAACCUGGGGCUUAACUCCGGGCCUGCAGUGGGUACGGGCAGACUAGAGUGCGGAAGGGGAGACUGAAAUUCCUGGUGUAGCGGUGAAAUGCGCAGAUAUCAGGAGGAACACCGGUGGCGAAGGCGGGUCUCUGGGCCGUAACUGACGCUGAGGAGCGAAAGCGUGGGGAGCGAACAGGAUUAGAUACCCUGGUAGUCCACGCCGUAAACGUUGGGCGCUAGGUGUGG
rnacentral:rRNA from 1 species